CAACUUUUAACAAUGGAUCUCUUGGUUCUCGCAUCGAUGAAGAACGUAGCAAAGUGCGAUAACUAGUGUGAAUUGCAUAUUCAGUGAAUCAUCGAGUCUUUGAACGCAUCUUGCACUCAAUGGUAUUCCAUUGAGUACGCCUGUUUCAGUAUCAAAA
rnacentral:rRNA from 1 species